rfam:Gossypium arboreum cultivar AKA8401 contig_65368_3, whole genome shotgun sequence.
UGGUGCUAUCAUACCAGCAGUAUUGCAUCGAAUCCAAUCAAAAUUUUGUCGUUAAGCAUGCUUGGACGAGAGUAAUACUGGGAUGGAUCACAUCCUUGGAAGUCUUCUUGUUGCACCCC